CAACGAUUGACCAAUCCUGACUGACUGGGCUUGACGAUCUCCCUGGUAGACAUACUCCCAUCAUGGCCACUUCCCUGCUACCAAAGUGACGUCACAAACACAAAUUGGGAAGAGAUGUGCAGCAGCACACGAUUAUGCAGUGAUUCCACCAAGUAGGUGCCAUGGAUGGAAAUAACCCAUGAACAGAGACACAGUCAAACAGCGAGAGGUGAGAAGUUCGCGUAUCAUCACCUUUGCUUUUAAUAUGUGCACGGUUACCGAGGUUGACUUUUAACCCUGGCUGUGCUUAACAACUCCCUCCUAAAGUUCCUGAAAAUGUGAGACUCAUCUCACAGCUCGACUCCAGAGCAGCUUCGAUCUGGGAAUGAAAUAUUCGUGGCAGCUCUUAGCCUGUGACUGGAAGCAGCCUCUGGCUGCUGGUGUGGCUUCUCUUCUGCCCUGACCACCAACGUCAACUCCCCCCUCUGGUAGGGCCUUUCAAAGCACAAGAUCAUGGGAUGGCCAAAACACCUUCUCCCUAAAAAGCCCUGGCCACAGACGGCCUGGAAACUUGUUUUGGAAAGUACCGUCCAGAGACUCAGAUUUCUCCCAACAUUUCUUCUGAUCGUCCCGGGAAGGGCUCCCUCCUGGUGGACCCUCCUUCACUUGUAAUGCCUUCCAAACACCCUGCUAAUGGUCUCGUUCCCUUCCUCUCCAUCCAUUACUUUGGAAGGAGAAAGACCCUUGAAAUCAACCGCUUCUGUAUUCAGUGCCGUAACAAGAGGCCUCUUGCCACGCCAGGCCCUCAGCCUCACCCGCCCGGGAGCUGACCACCCUGCAGGUGGCAUGGGACCUACGACUCACUGUAAACGGAUGAUAAUCCCCCUUGUUGGUCAGGGACUUGGUUCUUCUUCUAGACAAAUAUGACCUUUGAGUAAGUACACGCAGUCAGCACCCCACGGCGGUGCCUGCCUCAGAAUCAACCGACCAUGGGUGGAAAAUAUCUGUAAAAGAAAAAAACACCUGGACUGAAUGUGUACAGACUCUCUUCGGGUCUUCCUCUCUAAAGAAUACAGCCUGGCAGCCUCUCAGAGAGCGUGGACACUGGAUUCGGUUUCCGCAGUGUCCUGGAGGUGGUUCUCCGUAGACGAGGUGUUUGCAGACACUGCAGUUGAUCUGUGGGACUGAGCAGUGGUGGAGCUUGGGGUUCAGGGUCUCCACGGCCCAA
rnacentral:lncRNA from 1 species